rnacentral:rRNA from 1 species
ACUCCUACGGGAGGCAGCAGUGGGAAUCUUGGACAAUGGGGCACCGUCAUCAGCCAUGCCGCGUGAGUGAUGAAGGCCCUAGGGUCGUAAAGCUCUUUCGCCUGUGAAGAUAAUGACUGUAGCAGGUAAAGAAACCCGCGUAUAUCCGUGCCAGCAGCCGCGGUAAUACGGAGGGGUUAGCGUUGUUCGGAAUUACUGGGCGUAAAGCGCGCGUAGGCGGACUGGAAAGUUGGGGUGGAAU